AUGCACGCUGGCGGCGUGCCUAAUACAUGCAAGUCGAGCGAACGGACGAGAAGCUUGCUUCUCUGAUGUUAGCGGCGGACGGGUGAGUAACACGUGGAUAACCUACCUAUAAGACUGGGAUAACUUCGGGAAACCGUAGCUAAUACCGGAUAAUAUUUUGAACCGCAUGGUUCAAAAGUGAAAGACGGUCUUGCUGUCACUUAUAGAUGGAUCCGCGCUGCAUUAGCUAGUUGGUAAGGUAACGGCUUACCAAGGCAACGAUGCAUAGCCGACCUGAGAGGGUGAUCGGCCACACUGGAACUGAGACACGGUCCGGACUCCUACGGGAGGCAGCAGUAGGGAAUCUUCCGCAAUGGGCGAAAGCCUGACGGAGCAACGCCGCGUGAGUGAUGAAGGUCUUCGGAUCGUAAAACUCUGUUAUUAGGGAAGAACAUAUGUGUAAGUAACUGUGCACAUCUUGACGGUACCUAAUCAGAAAGCCACGGCUAACUACGUG
rnacentral:rRNA from 1 species